GAUGGCCAGGCUGUCUCCACCCGAGACUCAGUGAAAUUGAACUCGCUGUGAAGAUGCAGUGUACCCGCGGCAAGACGGAAAGACCCCGUGAACCUUUACUAUAGCUUGACACUGAACAUUGAGCCUUGAUGUGUAGGAUAGGUGGGAGGCUUUGAAGUGUGGACGCCAGUCUGCAUGGAGCCGGCCUUGAAAUACCACCCUUUAAUGUUUGAUGUUCUAACGUGGACCCGUGAUCCGGGUUGCGGACAGUGUCUGGUGGGUAGUUUGACUGGGGCGGUCUCCUCCUAAAGAGUAACGGAGGAGCACGAAGGUUGGCUAAUCCUGGUCGGACAUCAGGAGGUUAGUGCAAUGGCAUAAGCCAGCUUGACUGCGAGCGUGACGGCGCGAGCAGGUGCGAAAGCAGGUCAUAGUGAUCCGGUGGUUCUGAAUGGAAGGGCCAUCGCUCAACGGAUAAAAGGUACUCCGGGGAUAACAGGCUGAUACCGCCCAAGAGUUCAUAUCGACGGCGGUGUUUGGCACCUCGAUGUCGGCUCAUCACAUCCUGGGGCUGAAGUAGGUCCCAAGGGUAUGGCUGUUCGCCAUUUAAAGUGGUACGCGAGCUGGGUUUAGAACGUCGUGAGACAGUUCGGUCCCUAUCUGCCGUGGGCGCUGGAGAACUGAGGGGGGCUGCUCCUAGUACGAGAGGACCGGAGUGGACGCAUCACUGGUGUUCGGGUUGUCAUGCCAAUGGCACUGCCCGGUAGCUAAAUGCGGAAGAGAUAAGUGCUGAAAGCAUCUAAGCACGAAACUUGCCCCGAGAUGAGUUCUCCCUGACCCUUUAAGGGUCCUGAAGGAACGUUGAAGACGACGACGUUGAUAGGCCGGGUGUGUAAGCGCAGCGAUGCGUUGAGCUAACCGGUACUAAUGAACCGUGAGGCUUAACCUU
rnacentral:rRNA from 1 species